CUCGUAAGCGGUUCGUCGCGUCCGGUGUGAAAGUCCAUCGCUUAACGGUGGAUCCGCGCCGGGUACGGGCGGGCUUGAGUGCGGUAGGGGAGACUGGAAUUCCCGGUGUAACGGUGGAAUGUGUAGAUAUCGGGAAGAACACCAAUGGCGAAGGCAGGUCUCUGGGCCGUCACUGACGCUGAGGAGCGAAAGCGUGGGGAGCGAACA
rnacentral:rRNA from 1 species